AUUACAGUACUCUAUAACUGGGUUGACUUGUAUUGAAUUCUUUUACAUUUAGGUAAUUAAGUUUAUAAAUUAUGCUAUUUAGUAAAUUUUAUGAAACAAUAUACAUAAAUCAAUUAUGUAAAUAACUAUUUAAUUUUAUAAUAUUUGAUUUAGUUUAGAUGUUACAAUGUUUAACAUCUGAUGAUUCCAUAUGGCAUCAUUAGGAUGUACAUAAUAUAUUUAUUUUAAAUAUUUAUACUGUCAUGACUGCAAAAUGUGUAUUUUGUUUACAUUUAUUAUUCAAUAAUUCUUUAUUAUAAUAAAUAAUAAUUAUUAUUGUUAUUCAGUAUACAUUAUAGCUAUCAGUGAUGAAUAGAUUGCAAAAACAUACUGAGUGAAGAUUUGUCAGACAUAAAGAAAUUUGAAGGCAGAUGAAGAGGACAUUGAUUUGUUGAAUACAUUCAGACACGGAUAACUUAAUGCACCAAAAUGAGCUGCAAUUAUAUAAUUUGGUAAAUUUAUUUUUAAUUUGUAUUAUUAUUAUUGUUAUUUAAAAAAUAUAUAACUGAUUUUGGAUUAAAUCUUUGGUAAUAUUCCAUUCAAUAGGUCAGAUUCAACACUUUUAGGAAAAGAUGACGAGUUAAAAUAAUGAAAAUUUGGAAGAUGAUCUUUAUAAAGAUGUACCUAACAAUUGUAUAGAAAAUAUAUCAAUGAGAUCUAUAUGGAUAAGUGGUACAUGGGAAAAUCAAAAUUAUUAAUGUGAUGUUCAGUUUAUACCACCACUUCCUAAUUAAUUUACUUUUUUUCCUUUUGAAUUUUCAAAAAAUGUUUUGAUUUUGAAAUGAUAAAAAUUUAUCAAACUAAUUUUAAUCCAACUACAAAAUCUGGGUUCUCUAUAAAUAAUAAUGAAAUUGAG